AUUUCCUUAAAGUGAGACGGUAGGACAUACUUCAUUCUCAAGCUGUUUUCUUUAUAUCUUCCAGCACUUGGUGAAAAAUUAAAAUGGUACUGAGCUAUGAUUUCCAGCAAUACUGAACUGAAACACAGGAGAAGGUUUACUCCUGUUAGGAAUAAAAGAUAACAGCUUUUCGUAUGGGACUCAGAUAAGCAAGUAUAUUAAGAACAAAGAUUUAGUAGCUGAAGCAAGGGCUCUGUGGUCGAUGCUCUGGAGAGGACCAUGUCGGUCCCCGCACUGCUCUGGCCGGCUCACAAUCAGCUGUGACUGGCUCCAGAGGCACACACAAUGCCUCUGCCCUCUGCAAGCGCUGCCCUCACAGGCAGGUACCCCAAAACAAGCAGAUGAGGGCCAGGCAGGGUGACACCUGUAACACCAGCACGUGGGGGGCAGAGGCAGGCAGCACCCCAAGUCCCAGGAUGAGCCAGAGCUACACAGUGAAGCUCUGUCCCUAAUAACGGCGCAGGAGGACGGAUGCUGCAUCAGGGCAAGACAGGGCAACAGUGAAGCCGUCCCUGCCUGUGAACAGGAAUGUUAACAGAGCACAAGCCAAAUUCAACUUUAACACUUUCACAAUAAGGCUGGAGAGACUUCUCGCUCUUCAAGAGGACUGGAGUUGAGUUCCUAGCACCCUCAUGGCAGCUCACGACCAUCUGUAACUCCAGUUUCAGAAGAGUUGAUGCUCUCUUCUGGCUUCUUGCAGGCACCAGACGACCAUGUGGCAUCCAGAAAUACAUACACAGGCCAACACUCAGACACAUAAGAGUGAAAGAAGAGAAACACGGCAGCUUACAUUCAUAUGAUGGCAAGACCACUGUCAAGGGAAACUUUCAACUUAGUGUAAAGGAGUUCUUUGUAAACUUACCAUGAGGUCACUAGUAGGGGACAGAAUCCCAAAAAGGGAAGAAACCCUCCGGCCAAUCCCCGAGAGCAUGCCUUGGCCCUGGGGCAGGACAUGCUGGUGAAUCUUCCCUGAGCCCUCAGGAAUCAAUCGAACCAACUGGCUUCCCACAGAGGACAGGAUGAAACUUCCUCCCUGUGAAUAAAUACCAAGUCCUUUCGUUAACUAAUACACAAAAAUGCCCUUACAGCUUUUUAAA